CAAACCACACACAAAUCAAGGGGAGGAGAGGAAACCAAUCUAUGGCUGCUGCUUCUGUUCUCUUCUUCCUCCCUAAACCCCCGCCUCUCCACCUCCACCACUACCGCCACCGCCACCAGCAUCUGCAGCAGCUCGUCGGACUUCGCCUUCCCGGUCCCUCACGUCGUCGGCAGUGGCGACGUUUCGACUCCUACCCUGUUCGCGCCUCCAAGAACGGCGACGCCGCCGACCCCCCGGACCGCCUUCUCGCCGCCGUCUGCUACCUGUACCCCUUCCUUGACGGCGUCCACUACGGGCGCUUCGUGCUGACCCAGUUCCCGGCGUUCCAGGUCCUCCUCCAGCCCCUUGUCCCGGCCAUUCGCCUCUUCCGCUCCUCCCCCUUCACCCCCUUCCUACUCUUCCUCACCCUCUAUUUCGCCGUCGUCCGCAACCCCUCCAGGUUUAGCCGUUACGUCCGCUUCAACACCAUGCAGGCCAUCGUCCUCGAUGUCCUCCUCAUCUUCCCCGACCUCCUCGAGCGAUCUUUCAACCCGAGUGAGGGCAUCGGGUUGGACCUCCUCCAGAGCCUCGACAGCACUGUCUUCCUGUUCCUGCUCCUGUCGCUCAUCUACGGGUCCUCUGCGUGCCUCCUGGGGCAGGUCCCUCGGCUGCCUAUCGUCGCCGAGGCCGCCGAGAGGCAGGUCAUGUGAUGGAUGCAAUGACAUUCCAUGACAUUCUAUACGCCACACCACAGAGAAGCCAAGUUGGUCUACUAGCAAUGGCCCUUGUCCUGCUUUACAAACAUAUUCCAUUGAUCACAUUCAACUUCGAGAUGCCGAGGGCAUCGAUGUUGGUACCGACACAUGAUAUGCUGAUAUAGCUCGAAGCCGUAUUGGUUCGAAACCGACACAUGGUAUGCUUGCUCGUAAAGCGAAGUCGUAUUGGUCCAAGAUCGACAAAUGACAGAUAACUGGAUUCUACAUCGUAAGAAUCAACCCCUGGUCAUCCAUGAUAGCAGAGGAAAAAUGUACCGAUUCAAGAUUGAGAACAGCCAGCUCAUGAGAGCAUUAAAGAUGGAACACGACAUAAAUGAUAAUUGAAAACAAUUGUACCAA